GGACUCUACUACAACCCCGUUCACGGCGUCCACAGUCACGAUACUUACUAGAUAUACUGAUCAAACAACGUCGAACAAUUUACUCUAAACAUUUUUUAGGGUUUUUUUUCCAAACAAAUGUAUUCUCUGGUAUUUCAAAAUUUGAAAUCUAGUUUUACCACCUGCUGAUAUAUGAAACUGAUAGAUGUCAUUUAUGAAAAGGGUAAUAAAACCAAGACUAU
rnacentral:sRNA from 1 species